GACGAACGCUGGCGGCGUGCUUAACACAUGCCAGUCGAACGGUGAAGCGCCUUCCUUUUUGGUGGGUGUGGAUGAGUGGCGAACGGGUGAGUAACACGUGAGUAACCUGCCCCCUUCUUCUGGAUAACCGCAUGAAAGUGUGGCUAAUACGGGAUAUUCUGGGUCUGUCGCAUGAUGGGUCUGGGAAAGAUAUUGUUUCGGUGGGGGAUGGGCUCGCGGCCUAUCAGCUUGUUGGUGGGGUGAUGGCCUACCAAGGCGGUGACGGGUAGCCGGCCUGAGAGGGUGGACGGUCACACUGGGACUGAGACACGGCCCAGACUCCUACGGGAGGCAGCAGUGGGGAAUAGUGCACAAUGGGAGCAAGCCUGAUGCAGCGACGCCGCGGGAGGGAUGGAGGCCUUCGGGUUGUGAACCUCUUUCGCCAGUGAAGCAGGCCUGCCUCGUUUGUGGGUGGGUUGACGGUAGCUGGAUAAGAAGCGCCGGCUAACUACGUG
rnacentral:rRNA from 1 species